rnacentral:rRNA from 1 species
CUACGGGCCGCAGCAGGCGAGAAAACUUUGCAAUGUGCGAAAGCACGACAAGGUUAAUCCGAGUGGUUUGUGCUAAACGAACCUUUUGACAGUCCUAGAAACACUGUCGAAUAAGGGGUGGGCAAGUUCUGGUGUCAGCCGCCGCGGUAAAACCAGCACCUCAAGUGGUCAGGAUGAUUAUUGGGCCUAAAGCAUCCGUAGCCGGCUCUGUAAGUUUUCGGUUAAAUCUGUACGCUCAACGUACAGGCUGCCGGGAAUACUGCAGAGCUAGGGAGUGGGAGAGGUAGACGGUACUCGGUAGGAAGGGGUAAAAUCCUUUGAUCUAUUGAUGACCACCUGUGGCGAAGGCGGUCUACCAGAACACGUCCGACGGUGAGGGAUGAAAGCUGGGGGAGCAAACCGGAUUAGAUACCCUAGUAGUC